rnacentral:rRNA from 1 species
CACGUAGGGCGCAAGCGUUGUCCGGAAUUAUUGGGCGUAAAGAGCUCGUAGGCGGACUGUCACGUCUGCUGUGAAAAGCUGGGGCUUAACCCUGGCCUUGCAGUGGAUACGGGCAGACUAGAGGUAGGUAGGGGAGAAUGGAAUUCCCGGUGUAGCGGUGAAAUGCGCAGAUAUCGGGAGGAACACCGGUGGCGAAGGUGGUUCUCUGGGCCUUACCUGACGCUGAGGAGCGAAAGCGUGGGGAGCGAACAGG